GGCCGCGUAGCGCAAGGUGCUCCGGUGGUGGAGGGGAUUCGACGGAAACUCGCGUGC
rnacentral:tRNA from 1 species